rnacentral:rRNA from 1 species
GACGUAGGGGGCGAGCGUUGUCCGGAUUCAUUGGGCGUAAAGCGCGCGUAGGCGGCUGCGCAAGUCGGUUGUGAAAUUCCGGGGCUCAACCCCGGAACUGCGUCCGAUACUGCGUGGCUAGAGGUAGGUAGGGGAGAUCGGAAUUCCUGGUGUAGCGGUGAAAUGCGCAGAUAUCAGGAGGAACACCGGUGGCGAAGGCGGAUCUCUGGGCCUUUACCUGACGCUCAGGCGCGAAAGCUAGGGAGCGAACAGG